rnacentral:lncRNA from 1 species
CUCCAUCACUUCGGAGCCCCUUUGUGGGCUGCACAUUCUGUAGCCCUGAAAGAGUCUACAGCUCUUCCAAAGCACCCUGAGGUGAGGCUUCCACACCCAGACCAGGUUCAGGCUCUGCAUCCAAACCUGACCAGGUCAUAGCUUGACCUUUGGACCCAGAGCUUCCAGAACUCCACAGUCCACUCAGAAGCUAGACCUUCUCCAACUAUGCAGGAGACUCUCCCCUCUAAGCCUCCAGAACCACCCAAGGAGCCUGUCACUCAACUCUGGUGCCUCAUGAUGUGAGUCCCACCUUCAGCUCAGGAGUCUGCUCAACAUCCAAUGUCACAAAGGGUCACAGGCCACCCUUGGACCUGGUGUUCCUCACAGCUGCAAUGCCCACCACAGAGGCUGCACUUCCUGUAGCCCUGCAAAAGGCUGCAAUCUGUCUGCCUCCACAGCACACUGAGAUAAAGAAAGGAGAAAGAAGAUGAACACUGAAAAAGGAUGAAGAGGAGAAGACAGCUGAAUGAGACUCUCUGCAUAUCAACUUGGAUCUUUCAGUUUUAGCCUUGUUACCUUGGGCAAAUUAUUUAGCUCAGUGACUCAAUUUCCUCAUCCACAAAAUGGGGCCUAUGGUAGGUACCAUUUCAUAGGAUGUGAGACUCAGAAGAGUGAACAGAUGCUAUACUUCCAUCAGUGCCUAGGAUAUAUACAAAUCUUAGACAGUUAUUUUUCAGCCCUGUGUCUAGAACUCACGUUUGUUCUUGGCCUGGUAUAUAUGGCAUCCAUCUCAUGCCUAACCUAGGGCUAAGUGCAGUUGGAGCCAUAGAGGGAUGACACAGUCUCUAGAACAUGAAACUGAGAGAUGGGAAGAAAGAUGAAAGACAUCAAAAGGGAACUGGAGAGCAAGACGGGGUGGCACACCUCUGUAAUCCCAGUACUCUGGAAGGCUGAGACAGGUUGAUCUCAAGUAUGAAAUAAACCUGGGCAACUUAGUGACUUAGGGAGAUCCUAUCUCACGAGCAAAAAAGAGGGAAAAAUUUUAAAGGAGGAGGAGCUGGGUGCCAUUAUGAGCUAAACAGGAUGGAGACCAUAGAUUCUGUCCUUUUUCAGAAUCUGGAAUCAUGCAGUAGAAGAGAGGGGAAGCUGCCUGGGUAAGAUCAAACUUUACCGUGGGCUUGACCCAUCUGGGCUGUGAUUGUCAGACAGAGAACACAGAAGGACAGAGCUGAGGCACAGACAUGGCACAGUAAUGACAAACCAGGCUACUGGUGGACAAUCAGGUUAUGAAG